rnacentral:rRNA from 1 species
AUGCUGCGCGUCGUCUCCGCCCUCCGCCCGCUCCUCCGGAGCCCUCUCCUCCCGGGCCCUAAACCCCUCCCUCGCCCCCGCCGGCUGCCCCGGUCGUUCCGCGCCCUCUCGUCCUCGGCGCCUCUCGCAGCCUCCCCGCCCAGCGCGCCCGCACCUGCGCCCGGGGUGGUCCAGAUCAGCGAGGAGCACCUCGUGCGGUGCGCGGCAGCGGGGAGGGCGCCGCUGCGGGUGGCGGUGCUGCUGAGCGGCGGGGUCGACAGCAGCGUCGCGCUCCGCCUCCUCCACGCAGCCGGGCACAGCUGCACCGCCUUCUACCUCAAGAUCUGGUUCCAGGAAGAUUUCAGGAACUUUUGGUCCGAGUGCCCGUGGGAUGACGAUUUGAAGUAUGCACAGGCCGUGUGUGACAAGAUUGACGUGCCAUUGGAGGUGGUACAUCUAUCUGAUGAGUACUGGAACCAUGUGGUGUCUCAUAUGAUUAAUGAGUACCGCAACGGACGCACACCGAACCCUGAUGUUCUUUGCAACACAAGAAUAAAGUUUGGAGCUUUCUUAGAAGCAAUUGAAAAUUUGGGAUUUGAUUACAUAGCUUCAGGACAUUAUGCACAUGUAGUCCAUCCACCUGUUGAGAACGCUGAAGAGCCAUCGGUGCUCCAACUUUCGAAAGACGAGAUCAAGGAUCAAACUUAUUUCCUCUCACAUCUCUCUCAAGCCCAGCUUAGAAGGCUUCUUUUUCCACUGGGGUGUAUAACAAAGGAUGAAGUUCGCAGUCUGGCUGUUCAGAUGGACCUUCCUAACCAAGCUAGAAAGGAUUCUCAGGGGAUAUGUUUUCUCGGAAAGGUCAAAUUUAGUGAGUUUGUUCAAAGACAUAUAGGAGAAAUGGAGGGUAUACUUCUUGAGGCUGAAACUGGAGAUUACCUAGGGAUGCACCGUGGGUUUUGGUUCUAUACGAUUGGUCAGCGACAAGGUUUGCGACUUUCUGGAGGACCUUGGUAUGUUGUGGAGAAAGACGUGCAAAAUAAUGUGGUUUUUGUAUCAAGGAAUUACUAUUCACUGGAUAAGAGGAGACGAACUUUUCGUGUUGGAUCGUUAAACUGGUUUAGCGAUUCUGGGCCAGCAGACAAUGAACGCCUUAAAUGCAAGGUACGGCACAGUCCUGAUUUCCAUGAUUGCACCGUGACAAAAGAGCAAACCGAAGAGAACGGAGAUGUUUUGGCGGUUCGUCUGUCCGAAGACGACCAGGGUUUAGCAGCUGGCCAGUUUGCAGCGUUCUACCGUGACAGUGCGUGCCUGGGGUCAGGCAUAAUCCUGGAUUCCUGGGACGAAAUGAGCUUCCCUGUGUGCGCAAAGGCGCUGGAAACCGCUAGGAUGGAGGACAAGUCCAAGCUGGGGAAGCCCGUAAGGAUCAUGAACCUGGAGCAUCUUGUGAAGCCAGAACCGGAGCCGGCCAAGGUCGCUUGA